rnacentral:rRNA from 1 species
UACGGGGGGGGCAAGCGUUGUUCGGAAUUACUGGGCGUAAAGGGCUCGUAGGCGGCCAACUAAGUCGGAUGUGAAAUCCCCAGGCUUAACCUGGGAACUGCAUCCGAUACUGGAUGGCUUGAAUCCGGGAGAGGGAUGCAGAAUUCCAGGUGUGAGCGGUGAAAUGCGUAGAUAUCUGGAGGAAUACCGGUGGCGAAGGCGGCAUCCUGGACCGGCAUUGACGCUGAGUGAGCGAAAGCUAGGGGAGCAAACAGG